AAAGCACCUGUGGCAGCAUGGCUUCCUUUUCGUCCUGGCUGCUUGCCGGUUGCCACAUGUUCUGUGUGCUGAGCCCCCUGUCUGCUGGUCUGCCUCUCUGCCUCAUGUGAACUGGUGUCUGGUUUGCUAAGUGAGGUUGUUGCCUGCUGCUGGUGGAGUCAAGGCCCUCUCAGUGGUUCCCUGCACUGUUUGUAGUGAUGAGCACACCGGGACACAAUAGUUUGCACCUGUUGGCCUUGAUUGCUGUUUGCUGUGAGUUCAUGAGUGAUACUUCCAGUCUAAAUCAAUUUACAUUGUCUUUUGGAACCAAGUCUCUGUCUUAAUAAAGGUGUUGAACCUG